UACGAAGGGGGCUAGCGUUGCUCGGAAUUACUGGGCGUAAAGCGCACGUAGGCGGUCUUUUAAGUCGGGGGUGAAAUCCUGGAGCUCAACUCCAGAACUGCCUUAGAUACUGGAAGACUUGAGUCCGGGAGAGGUGAGUGGAACUGCGAGUGUAGAGGUGAAAUUCGUAGAUAUUCGCAAGAACACCAGUGGCGAAGGCGGCUCACUGGCCCGGUACUGACGCUGAGGUGCGAAAGCGUGGGGAGCAAACAGG
rnacentral:rRNA from 1 species